rnacentral:rRNA from 1 species
AGAGUUUGAUCAUGGCUCAGAACGAACGUUGGCGGCGUGGAUUAGGCAUGCAAGUCGCGCGAAUCCCCGCAAGGGGGGAAGCGGCGUAAGGGGCAGUAAGGCGUGGGUGACCCACCCGGGGGUCGGGGAUAGCCCGUCGAGAGACGGGGUAAUACCCGGCGAUGUCACAAGACCAAAGGUCCGCCGCCCCCGGCGGGGCCCACGUGAUAUUAGCUAGUUGGCGGGGUAACGGCCCACCAAGGCGGAGAUGUCUAGCGGGUGUGAGAGCACGACCCGCGCCACUGGCACUGAGACACUGGCCAGACACCUACGUGUGGCUGCAGUCGAGGAUCUUCGGCAAUGGGGGCAACCCUGACCGAGCGACGCCGCGUGGGCGAUGAAGGCCUUCGGGUUGUAAAGCCCUGUCGAGGGGGAGGAAAGCUUAACGGCUGGACCCAUCCCUGGAGGAAGCACGGGCUAAGUUCGUGCCAGCAGCCGCGGUAAUAC